GAAACUCGCCUACAUGAAGCUGGAGUUACUAGUAAUCGCAGAUCAGAAUGCUGCGGUGAAUGCGUUCCCGGGUCUUGUACACACCGCCCGUCACACCACGGGAGUUGGAGACGCCCGAAGCCGAUUAUCUAACCCUUUGGAAGAAGUCGUCGAAGGUGGAAUCAAUAACUGGGGUGAAGUCGUAACAAGGUAGCCGUAUCGGAAGGUGCGGCUGGAUCACCUCCUUUCUAAGGAGA
rnacentral:rRNA from 1 species